UACGAAGGGGGCGAGCGUUGUUCGGAUUUACUGGGCGUAAAGGGCGCGCAGGCGGCUAUCCAAGUCAGGCGUGAAAGCCCCGGGCUUAACCUGGGAGGUGCGUCUGGGACUGGGUGGCUAGAGUUCGGGAGAGGAGAGUGGAAUUCCCAGUGUAGAGGUGAAAUUCGUAGAUAUUCGGAAGAACACCAGUGGCGAAGGCGACUUACUGGACGAUUGUUGACGCUGAGGUGCGAAAGCGUGGGGAGCAAACAGG
rnacentral:rRNA from 1 species